AGAGGGAGAAGAGAGAAAGAGAUUUGGGAGAAAGAGUCAUCUUGUAUUCCCUUGGCUUGAUCAAACCUAUACAAGUACAUGUAUAUAUAAACAUCGGGUCAAGUGACCCAAACCCAAAACUCCCUUGACCAACUCUAUGGGAGAUUAGGUUAACCCAAGCCCAUGUACACCCAUGACUUGACCUAAUCUCACCUAUCCUGGGUCCAGACCUGGCCCAUAAAGAGUUGGUCCCUUGAGGCCCAC
rnacentral:lncRNA from 1 species